rnacentral:rRNA from 1 species
GAUGAACGCUGGCGGCGUGCCUAAUACAUGCAAGUCGAGCGAACAGACGAGGAGCUUGCUCCUCUGACGUUAGCGGCGGACGGGUGAGUAACACGUGGAUAACCUACCUAUAAGACUGGGAUAACUUCGGGAAACCGGAGCUAAUACCGGAUAAUAUAUUGAACCGCAUGGUUCAAUAGUGAAAGACGGUUUUGCUGUCACUUAUAGAUGGAUCCGCGCCGCAUUAGCUAGUUGGUAAGGUAACGGCUUACCAAGGCAACGAUGCGUAGCCGACCUGAGAGGGUGAUCGGCCACACUGGAACUGGUACACGGUCCAGACUCCUACGGGAGGCAGCAGUAGGGAAUCUUCCGCAAUGGGCGAAAGCCUGACGGAGCAACGCCGCGUGAGUGAUGAAGGUCUUCGGAUCGUAAAACUCUGUUAUUAGGGAAGAACAAAUGUGUAAGUAACUAUGCACGUCUUGACGGUACCUAAUCAGAAAGCCACGGCUAACUACGUG